rnacentral:lncRNA from 1 species
CCAGAAUGUGAUGUGCAUUACAGGCAAUCUGCUAAAGAGAUUGCAAAGACAACCUAACCCUCACCCCUGGAAGGCAGAGGUUGCAGUGAGCCGAGAUUGCGCUACUGCACUCCAGCUUGGGUGACGGAGUGAGACUCUGUCUCAAAAAAAUAAAAAACACUCACCCCUUUAUAUAACCAGGCAGAUGCAACCCAUGUCAUACAUGUUUUCAAGAUAAACAACUAGUCCUCAAAUAAGAUGACUUCACAGCACCACCUGUCACCUGCGAAUCGGAGUAGUCACCUGUGUUUGUUAAUUGUCUUUAUCCAAAGGAAAAUUAAAUUUCUUAUGUCUUUAUGGUAGGUUUGUAACUUAACAGGUGCCAGCUGAAGUUAGGUUCCUACCCUUCCAUAGGACUAGGAAAUAGGAAUGCUAUUUCCCUCGAUGAUUUCAUUUCAAAGAGAAGGCUUCCAGGUCCUUAAGGAUAAGAUUAUGGGGUUGGGGAAAAAAAAAACUGACAAGAGAUUUAUUUAUCUUUUUUUUUUUAAACUAACACCUUUCUCAUGGGUUAUUAAGCUUAUUUAAAAAAAGAUGUAGGCCGGG